GUGCUUUUAUAGCCAGGCUGUUGCCUCAAAUAAAUUUACCAGUUUUCAAAGAGAUACAUUUGUCUCUUACCUUCAGCUGAGGGUGUGAACAGAGACUCCUCCUUUGACAAAGAUGCACUCAAAAUUCUGGGUAACGUAUUUCAGGAUCAGUAAUAUUUAAGCUACCUUUUAUAGACAUCCCAUUAGUUAUUGUUGUCUAGUCCAGUUGUGAAUCCUGGUCUGGACUGAUUAAGUGAGAGUGUUUACAUUACCUGCCUGGGGAAUGUAAGUUACCGUAAAUCAAACUCACAAUGCAGAGAGAUAACUCAUUCACAUAGAGUGAAUCAAUGAUUAGAAGUUCCAAAGUUAUCAUGUCUUCUUUCUCAUGCUUCAAAGAAGUCUGUCUCUUGCAGUUGACAAUGUAUAAGUCUAACUCAGGGACUUAAUUAUGUGAUUAAUGUUUUAGCAUUUUCCAUUCAAUACAGGAAAAUUAUGUAUAUGGUUUAGACUCUGUUUUAUUUCAUGAGCACAGAAGUUAAGCACAGUGGUGAUGAAUAUCACAACUGAUCUAACUCUGUAAGGAGUUUGAUGUUAAACAUCGAGUCUUAUCUUGAUACUACUUUUGACUCCCAUUGGUUUAACAAUAAGAAAAUUAAGCUACAGUGUCCUUCCCAAGAUAUCCCGACAUCAGCCAGACACACAGGUCUUUAUUUAUCUAUUUUUAGAACGUAGCUAUAUAUUCUUAAUACUUAUACCCUGAGGUUAUCCUAGAUGUUUACUUCAGUACAUAAACUUCAGUUUGUACAAAAUUCAAUGGCUAGUGUACCCUGUAAAUGCAACUUCUAUAAACACUAAAUUGGUACUAAACUGGAAUACUGCUUCCUGUCAACUGCUGAACUGAUUUAAAGACACUUGUCGUGUACAGCCUUAUAAAAUUGAAAUGGUUGUACCCUACAUAUUGAACUAUUGAUUGCAGUACCCACUAUAUUUGCUUAUGGUGUUAAGGCUUCUUAGUGUUCUCAUAGUAUGACUACAGUCAUCUGCAAAUACUGGUAAAAUAUCUUCUUGGAACUGAAAGUUUUUCUUUCCAAAAUGCAAAAGUUGAAAUUCUUUGGAGAUUAAAUUAUUACUAGUAGCUGCAUUAAAUAUAAUUUGUGUUCCUCUUGUAGUUUAAAGCAGUCCUAAAGCUGUUAGAGAACACUCCAGUGAGACAGGGCUGAAUUGACUUUUUGCCACACAGUAUAGAGAUUACACUCUCCCCUGGACUGUGAUGGUCCUAGUAUUUCCAAGGAAUCUCACAGAGCAAUAAAAACCUAGAAUAAACAUAUAUACAGAAAGUUCCAUAUUUUUCUAACAAUCACUAAAGUGUCUAGGCAGUGCACCUGAAAUCUUACUGAAUAAGACUGCACUUGGUGAUUAUCCUGUCAUCUCUGUGCUACAAAAUUUCUAACAUUAUUCUCUAGCUCAAGGUAGGAUGAAGGGCCCUGUGUUUGGAUGAACUCUUGUACUGAGUCUGGCAUGGAUGGAGUCAAUUUGUUUCCUAGCAGCCAGUAUGGUGCUGCACUUUGCAUUUGUGACUAAACCAACAUUGAUAGCAUGUUUCAGCUAUUGCUGAACAGCACUUCCGUAGUAUGAAAUCCUUUCUGCUUUCCAAGUCUUUCCUCAUUCUGAUUCUGGAGUUCUACUGAAUCAUUGACAGCCGUGGCAACAUGACAGGAAAGGAGACAGCAGUACCAUGCUAUUGGAACUGUGAAGCAGAGAAACUGUUGCUGCUUGAGUUGAUUAUAGCUGGUAAAAAAAAAAACACCAAAAACUUGUCACAAUAAAAAUACGCUGACAACCAGAAACAAACCAUCUUUCUAGUCCCCUUGGGCCAAUCAGUUACACUGCUUGUGACUGAAACACAUUGACCAUCUUGCAAGGAACAGCGCUGUCAAAUAGAGUGUUUUGGACACAGCAGUUUUGUUAUCUUAGUUCUCCUUUAUAACUGCCUCUGAAAUUUCAUUUGUAUGCUCUAUCUUUUUUCUGCUUUAAACUGUCUGUCUUCAUGAUGAUUGAGGUCUUCACUUUAUAUUAUAUUGGAUUAUGUUUGCAAUAUAUUUCAGAAUCCUUCAAAAUGAGAAAUGCUACAGUAGAACUAUUGUUUAUCCCAGUUUUAAUGGCUUUACUAUUAUUAAAAAAAAAGUGAAGCCAAACCAUAAUCUGGAUGUUUAUUUGGGAAAAAAAAAGGUGUAACUUUAUAAAAAAAAAUCAAGCACGUGUUUCAUAAAGAUAUUGUUCAUAUUUGAUUUUUCUGUAAUACCAUUUAAUGAAUUUCACUGGUUAUAAUUCAGUUACUUUUAAUUAAUUUUUAAUGCUUUCAUUUUAUUUUUUAAAUAAACUUCCUCUGCAAUAUGUUAUUUCCCAAGA